AAAUGAAUAGACGGGGGCCCGCACAAGCGGAGGAACAUGUGGUUUAAUUCGAUGAUACGCGAGGAACCUUACCUGGGUUUGAACGUAUGUUGCAUGAUUUGGAAACAGAUCUUUCCUUCGGGACUACAUACGAGGUGCUGCAUGGUUGUCGUCAGCUCGUGCCGUGAGGUGUCGGCUUAAGUGCCAUAACGAGCGCAACCCUCAUUGCCAGUUACCAGCACAUAAUGGUGGGGACUCUGGCGAAACUGCCGGCGUAAGCUGUGAGGAAGGUGGGGAUGACGUCAAAUCAGCACGGCCCUUAUAUCCAGGGCUACACACGUGUUACAAUGGUCGGUACAACGGGCAGCCACUUGGCGACAAGGAGCUAAUCCCCAAAGCCGAUCUCAGUUCGGAUCGAAGUCUGCAACUCGACUUCGUGAAGGUGGAUUCGCUAGUAAUCGCAUAUCAGCCAUGAUGCGGUGAAUACGUUCCCGGGCCUUGUACACACCGCCCGU
rnacentral:rRNA from 1 species